rnacentral:rRNA from 1 species
AACGAACGCUGGCGGCAUGCCUAACACAUGCAAGUCGAACGAGACCUUCGGGUCUAGUGGCGCACGGGUGCGUAACGCGUGGGAACCUGCCCUUAGGUUCGGAAUAACUCCCCGAAAGGGGUGCUAAUACCGGAUAAUGUCUUCGGACCUAAGAUUUAUCGCCUUUGGAUGGGCCCGCGUUGGAUUAGCUAGUUGGUAGGGUAAAAGCCUACCAAGGCGACGAUCCAUAGCUGGUCUGAGAGGAUGAUCAGCCACACUGGGACUGAGACACGGCCCAGACUCCUACGGGAGGCAGCAGUGGGGAAUAUUGGACAAUGGGCGAAAGCCUGAUCCAGCAAUGCCGCGUGAGUGAUGAAGGCCUUAGGGUUGUAAAGCUCUUUUACCCGGGAUGUUAAUGACAGUACCGGGAGAAUAAGCUCCGGCUAACUCCGUG